UACGUAGGUGGCAAGCGUUGUCCGGAAUUAUUGGGCGUAAAGCGCGCGCAGGCGGUCCUUUAAGUCUGAUGUGAAAGCCCACGGCUCAACCGUGGAGGGUCAUUGGAAACUGGGGGACUUGAGUGCAGGAGAGAAGAGUGGAAUUCCACGUGUAGCGGUGGAAUGCGCAGAUAUCAGGAAGAACACCAACGGCGAAGGCAGCUCGCUGGGACGGUACUGACGCUGGAGACGCGAAAGCGUGGGGAGUGAACAGG
rnacentral:rRNA from 1 species